rnacentral:rRNA from 1 species
CACUUGUUCUCUAAAUAGGGACUUGUAUGAAUGGCCACACGAGGGUUUUACUGUCUCUUACUUCCAAUCAGUGAAAUUGACCUUCCCGUGAAGAGGCGGGAAUAUAUUAAUAAGACGAGAAGACCCUAUGGAGCUUUAACUACUUAGCCCAAAAGAAACAAAUUUCAUUGCUAAGGAAACAACAACACUCUUUAUGGGCUAACAGCUUUGGUUGGGGUGACCUCGGAGAACAAGAAAUCCUCCGAGCGAUUUUAAAGACUAGACCUACAAGUCGAAUCACACAAUCGUUUAUUGAUCCAAAAAAUUGAUCAACGGAACAAGUUACCCUAGGGAUAACAGCGCAAUCCUAUUCAAGAGUCCAUAUCGACAAUAGGGUUUACGACCUCGAUGUUGGAUCAGGACAUCCCGAUGGUGCAACCGCUAUCAAAGGUUCGUUUGUUCAACGAUUAAAGUCCU